rnacentral:rRNA from 1 species
AUUGAACGCUGGCGGCAUGCCUUACACAUGCAAGUCGAACGGCAGCACGGGUGCUUGCACCUGGUGGCGAGUGGCGAACGGGUGAGUAAUACAUCGGAACAUGUCCUGUAGUGGGGGAUAGCCCGGCGAAAGCCGGAUUAAUACCGCAUACGAUCUACGGAUGAAAGCGGGGGACCUUCGUGCCUCGCGCUAUAGGGUUGGCCGAUGGCUGAUUAGCUAGUUGGUGGGGUAAAGGCCUACCAAGGCGACGAUCAGUAGCUGGUCUGAGAGGACGACCAGCCACACUGGGACUGAGACACGGCCCAGACUCCUACGGGAGGCAGCAGUGGGGAAUUUUGGACAAUGGGCGAAAGCCUGAUCCAGCAAUGCCGCGUGUGUGAAGAAGGCCUUCGGGUUGUAAAGCACUUUUGUCCGGAAAGAAAUCCUUGGCCCUAAUACGGUCGGGGGAUGACGGUACCGGAAGAAUAAGCACCGGCUAACUACGUG